CCCUUUUCCCUGGAAAUGAAUUCCCAGCCACUCCAUCUGGUUGCCAGAGGUGAUGCUUCCAUGCAGCUGCGGUAACCGGUGCCAUGGGAGGACACCGGGGAGGACCCUGCUGCUGUUUCACCUUCCUUUUGCUCACUUCCAUCAAGGGCCCUGUGUAUCUUAAUGCAGGGUUUGGCUCUUCUUUUACAUGGAACUUUCAGGAACGUGUUUGUGACAUGGUUUUUUUUCUGGGAGAAACGCCGUGCAAAGGUGAAACUUAGGUGGAAUUGGGGUGAAAUUCCUGUGGGAUUGGGGAGCUGGAAGUUAAAAGGGGGAUAUGAAAGUUUGCUUUGAGCUUGUGGGCUUUGUUCUGUUUGGAUGCUCGUUGCAGGUGCUUUCAGGGAAAUCAGUGCACAUCAAUUCGAUAAAUCCUCAGAGGAAGGAGAGUAAAAGGAACUAAAAGCUUCUUACAAAGCUCCUGAAGUUUGGCAACACUCGCAGAUGUCAUUGCCUGUCAGGGAGAUCUCUUCAUUUCCCAUCCCCUGGAGUGGGAGCUGCCUGUCAAGUGUCUCUUCUCCACAGUUUCGUGUUUCUGGGAUCCUGAGGAGAGCAGAAGAGACCAUGAGAUGUGCUGGAAGGACAAAUCUUCAUGGUUGAAUUGGGAUUGGGGUGAAAUCAGGUGAAACAGCAGGAGUGGGACUGAAGGUGCAGCAUGAACAUCGUGGGCUCUUUCCCAUCCAAGAGGCCAGGGCUGAGCAGUGUGGAGAUGGAUGGAUGGAGAUGGAUGGAGGAGGAGCUUUUGUUCCAGACACUAAACAUGUCUUGGCUGUCGGUAGUUCAAGGUGGCAACGCUGAUCCCUUUCUACGGGAGUCAUUCCAAAGCACUGCGCUGUGAGUCAAAGCAAGAACCACAAGACAAAUAGGUGAACAUGCUGUCUUCGCUGCCUUGAAUUAACACAGAGUGAGUAUGUGGAGGGCUAAGUGCAUUCCGUGGGGUGGGAGCCAGCAGAGAGGAGUGGAGCUGCAUUUCCAAGUGCUCUUUUCCCGUAGGCUCCUGGGCUGCCCGCACUGAUUUACUGCUCUCCUUCCCUCAGCCUUUGAAACUCAAUCCAUUAACAAUUAAUGCCUGCUCUCGUCUUUAUUUCACACCCUCUCGUUAAUGGAGUGAUAAAAACCCCCCAACCUUCCUUCAAGCACCAGCACUGCUCUCUUUCACAAGGCUGCAUCCCUGGGUCAGGCUUUUAUCCCU